CGGUCCUGUCCAGCAUGUUCCUAACAUUCAUAUGCAACCCAUCAUUAAACCCUGGCCUGCGCGAGGCUAGGCGCUGGACUUGAUUGGGAUGAUCCAUCCUCAUUCCUCCCUACAGCACAAGUUUAUCAUCGUCGCCACUGAUUACUUCACGAAAUGGGUCGAAGCAGAGCCUUUGAAGGAGGCCUCCGGUGCUACCAUUCGCCAGUUUAUUUUCCGUAAUAUUCUUUGCAGGUUUGGUAUCCCUGAAGUGCUGGUGUCGGAUCGGGGGGCAGCGUUCAAGGGAGGCCCCGUUGAGGAGCUGGUGAAUGAUUUCGGUAUUCAAUUCCUACAUAGUACUCCGUACUAUCCUCAAUCUAAUGGUCAGGCGGAGGCGAGCAACAAGACAAUCAUCACCUUAUUGAAGAAGAUGCUGGUGGAGAAUCCUCGACAGUGGCAUGAUACUUUGUACGAGACACUUUGGGCCUAUCGUACUUCUAAACGUAACCCUACCGCCACGACGCCAUACGCGCUUAUGUUUGGACAUGACGCUGUUUUACCAUUAGAAAUUAAUGUUCACUCCCUACGAGUCCAAGAACAGCAUCAUUUGAUUGGCGAGGAUUAUGUUCAAGCAAUGUGGCAGGAGCACGAAGACUUAAGCGAGCAGCGCUUGGCCGCUUUAGAUAAUUUGGUGAUGGAAAAACAGCGUAUCGCCCGCGCCUAUGAUAAGAGGACGCG
rnacentral:lncRNA from 1 species